GGCAUUCAAAGGCUGAAGGGCCACCUGACACUCCAGAGGCUGCUGGAAAUGCAGGGCUGUUUCAUCCUGGAUAUUUUCCAGAGAUAAGUACUGAGCAGCUUAAAGUAUUUGAAUGGGAGGAGGAGAAGCAAACUACAGCUACUUCAGAGGAUAACACUAAACACCUAGUCCACUCUGUAUACACUAGAGGUGCUGUUAAUUUUCUUGUGGAGAAGGAACUGUCUUUAGAAAAAUAUCUCAAAAAGCCACUGAAGUAGAAAGUUUCAGCAUGCUGAAGAUGGAACUUGCGAAGAUAGAAAGUUCUGGGUCCUUAGUGGCAUGACUGAGUCGCUGGACCACUGUUGGAACCACCCUAUGUCUUAGUUUUUAAAUCUCUUUACUGUCUAAGACAUUUUUAGUGGAAGUAUUUAUCUCUGGCAUCCAAUAAGACCUUUAAGGAUUUGCAGUUUUA
rnacentral:lncRNA from 1 species